UGAAAUGUUGGGUUAAGUCCCGCAACGAGCGCAACCCUUAUCCUUUGUUGCCAGCGGUUAGGCCGGGAACUCAAAGGAGACUGCCAGUGAUAAACUGGAGGAAGGUGGGGAUGACGUCAAGUCAUCAUGGCCCUUACGACCAGGGCUACACACGUGCUACAAUGGCGCAUACAAAGAGAAGCGACCUCGCGAGAGCAAGCGGACCUCAUAAAGUGCGUCGUAGUCCGGAUUGGAGUCUGCAACUCGACUCCAUGAAGUCGGAAUCGCUAGUAAUCGUGGAUCAGAAUGCCACGGUGAAUACGUUCCCGGGCCUUGUACACACCGCCCGUCACACCAUGGGAGUGGGUUGCAAAAGAAGUAGGUAGCUUAACCUUCGGGAGGGCGCUUACCACUUUGUGAUUCAUGACUGGGGUGAAGUCGUAACAAGGUAACCGUAGGGGAACCUGCGGUUGGAUCACCUCCUUACCUUAAAGAAGC
rnacentral:rRNA from 1 species